CAGGUAGUCCACGCCCUAAACGAUGUCGAUUUGCUGUUGGGCAGCAUGACUGCUUAGUAGCGAAGCUAACGCGUGAAAUCGACCGCCUGGGGAGUACGGUCGCAAGAUUAAAACUCAAAGGAAUUGACGGGGACCCGCACAAGCGGUGGAUGAUGUGGAUUAAUUCGAUGCAACGCGAAGAACCUUACCUGGUCUUGACAUGUACGGAACCCUCCAGAGACGGAGGAGUGCCUUCGGGAGCCGUAACACAGGUGCUGCAUGGCUGUCGUCAGCUCGUGUCGUGAGAUGUUGGGUUAAGUCCCGCAACGAGCGCAACCCUUGUCAUUAGUUGCCAUCAUUAAGUUGGGCACUCUAAUGAGACUGCCGGUGACAAGCCGGAGGAAGGUGGGGAUGACGUCAAGUCCUCAUGGCCCUUAUGACCAGGGCUUCACACGUCAUACAAUGGUCGGUACAGAGGGUAGCCAAGCCGCGAGGCGGAGCCAAUCUCACAAAACCGAUCGUAGCCCGGAUUGCACUCUGCAACUCGAGNGCAUGAAGUCGGAAUCGCUAGUAAUCGCAGGUCAGCAUACUGCGGUGAAUACGUUCCCGGGUCUUGUACACACCNCCCGUCACACCAUGGGAGUGGGGGAUACCAGAANUA
rnacentral:rRNA from 1 species